ensembl:lncRNA
CCCCAUGGGGAAAAAAAGGACAAAAUAUGAGCACAUACACCAGGCUCCUGUUCCUCUUAGGCUGUUAGCUUUAUUGGGCUGGUUUGUCGUUUGUCUGCUAGUGAUGUGUGGGACUCUCCUCACUUCACUUCCCUUCGUCCCUCUUCAAGGGUUUCUCUUGUGAUCUCUGCCCAUCUCCCAACAACCUUUCCCUCUCUCAGUACAGCUGCUGAUUUCAAAAUGCUGAGCCCUCUUCUGUAGGAGCCUGUCCCCCUAUCAUAGCUGAUGGAUGGGGUUGGAUGCCUGACCCAAAUUAGCCAAUCAGAGUUUCUCUCCUGAGAAUGUAAAGAGGGACAGAGAUAGGUGGGGACCAAAAGUUAUGGGAGCUGAGCCCUGUGUGGUAGGCAGAAUUUUACAUAGGGCACGUGUAAUAUGAUGAGAAGCUGAGCUUCUCACUCCCACAAUUGCUGUGUUACUUGGCAGGGUUGACCUUAAGAUAAAAGACUCUCAGGUGAGCCUGAUCUAGUCAUCUGGUUCUUUCAAAGCAGCAGGAGUCAGAUUUGAAGCACGAGGGACUUUGCUGGCUUGAAGAUGGAGGGGGUCAUAGGGGAAGAAAGUGCUGUGGCUUCUAGGAGCUGACGGAGUUUCCCAGCUGAGAGCCAUUGAGGAAGUGGACACCUCAAUCUUAUAAUCACAAGGACGUGAUUCAGCCAACAACCUGAAGGAGCUUAGAAGUGGACUUUCCCCUCAAGCUUCCAGAGAAGACCCCAGCAUGGCUGACACCUUGGCUUUGGUCUUGAGCAGAGGACAAAGUUGAGCUGUGCCAGACUUCUGACCUACAGAACUUGGCUUCUGUUGAGAGCUUCCCUGGUGGCUCAUACACUAAAGCAUCUGCCUACAAUGCGGGAGACCCAGGUUCAAUCCAUGGAUCAGGAAGAUCUCCUGGAGAAGGAAAUGGAAACCCACUCCAGUAUUCUUGCCUGGAAAAUCCUAUAGACGGAGGAACCUGAUCCCAUUUAGUGAAUCCUGCUUGCUCUACCUUCAGGAUAUAUCCAGCUGCUGCCCCUGCCAUCCUGUCCAGGCCAUUGCCACCUCUUGUCUGAAUCAUCACAGAGCCUCUAACACGUCUCCCUUCAUCCUUUUGCCCCUGACACGGUGGAGAAGAGACCAAACAGCUGCCAGAGAUCCUCAGCAUGGCGCCCUGGGGCACCGAGGACGCGUGUGCUGCUGUGAAAGCAGAAGCCAGAAUUCUCAUGAUGACUUCAGGGCCCCCUGUGACUCGGCCCCUACGUCCUUCUCUUCAUGCCCUCGCACACUUCUCACCUCUCAUUCUAUUCCAGCCACAGGGGUCUGGCUUCCGUUCCCUGAACUCUCAUGCCCUGAGGCCUUUGCACUCGCUGUCCCUUCUGCCCACACUGCUCUUCUCUAGGGUAUCUGACAGCUCACUCCCUCACCUCUUUCAGGGCUUUCAAAUGCCACCUUCCUCAUGGAGCCUUCCUGGUCAUUCUAUUCAUAAUUUCUCCCCUAAUGGAAACCCUUCACCCCACUAUGUCCCUGAUUUCAUUUUCUCUUUAGAACUUAUGAUGAUCUGACAUACAUAUUUAUAUUAUAUAUUUUAUAUACUUAUUGUGUUGAUUGUCUUUUUCCUGCACAAGAAUAUGAAGUCUAUGAAGAAAUAGUUUUUUUAAAAGUUCUAUCCAGGGCUUCCCUGGUGGUUCAGUGGUUAAGAAUCUGCCUGCCAAUGCAGAGGACACAGGUUUGAUGCCUGGUCUGGGAGGAUCCCACAUGCCACUAAGCCCAUGUGCCACAACUACUGAAGCUGGCACACACUAGAGCCUGUGCUCGGCAACAAGAGAAGCCUCUGCAAUGAGAAGCCUGCGCACCACAACUUGAGAGAGCCCACGUGCAGUGAUGAAGACCCCGUGGACCCAAAAAUAAAUAAAUACAAACACAUUUCCUUAAAAAAAAAUGUUCUAUCCAUUGCCAUACGCCCAGUGCCUAAAAUAGCACCUAAUACAUAUUGAAAGUAUUAGCUGCUCAGUCCUGUUCGACUCUUUGCAACCCCAUUGACUAUAGCCCACCAGGCUCCUCAGACCAUGGCAUCCUCCAGGCAAGAAUACUGGAAGGGACUGCCGUUCCCUUCUCCAGGGGAUCUUUCUAACCCAGGGAUUCAACCCAGGUCUUCUACAUUGAAGGCAGAUUCUUUACUGUCUGAGCCACCAGGGAGGCCCUAACACAUAUUAAGUGCUCAAUAAGUACUUGUUGAAUGGUUGAUAGA